CAGAUGUGAAAGACCCGGGGCGUCAACCUCGGAAUUGCAUUUGUAAACUAGGCAGACUAGAGUACUGUAGAGGGGGGUAGGAAUUUCAGGUGUAGCGGUGAAAUAGCGUAGAGAUCUGAAGGAAUACCGGUGGCGAAGGCGGCCCCCUCGGACAGAUACUGACACUCAGAUGCGAAAGCGUGGGGAGCAAACAGGAUUAGAUACCCUGGUAG
rnacentral:rRNA from 1 species